rnacentral:lncRNA from 1 species
GGAACCCUGCUUUGUGUAGUUCAGUGCCUGCUGCCAAGUCAGAGCUGUGACCUCAAUGAAAGUGGCCCAUCCACACCAAACCUCAGUUUCUGUAACAGUCCUGGGAUCCAAUGUGGUUUUCACAUUCCAUAUCACUUCACUCUGUUAUCUCCGGGUAGACAGACACUGAUCAAGUAAGCAAACAAAUGUGAAAUUGCCCUGUGACAAGGGAGGUGCAGGGUACCUGUGUUGGGGAAGAAUUCUCUGAGACUUGAAGUCAGAGAAAGAGUUAGCUACUGGGGCCCAGGCCGAAGGGACGGCAUGAGCAAAGGCCAUGAAGAGGGAGGCGCCCUCUGUGAAACCAACAAGCUUUCAGCCACGUGGGUCUCUCUGAUGCGUUGUCUCCGCCACAGAGGGCUUUAAAAAGCCCCGAAACUGGACAGGUGUCACUGCCUGUGGCAGUAGCGGCCAUUUGGCGCCUGUGGUUUCAACUCCACCCGUUUCACAUGUCUAUGUUACCAGACUGGCCCCUGAAGGGGAUCUGCGUGCCAGGCCCUGACCUGCCGGGCUUUGGAAACAUCCUCGCCAGUGUCCCCUGACCUGCGCUCCGCCCUGUGGAGUGAGGCCUGGUUGCCCAAGCUGGCUGGGCCGGGCUGUUUGCUGCUUCCAACAAACAUAGGAGAGAACGUAUUGCUGCUUUUUAUUGCCAGUGAGAGCUCCGCGAGGCCUGGCCCGAGAUGUGGCUGGCGUGAGGGGUCCCGGACCUGCUGUGCUGGGGACGCACCCAGUUCUGUGGCGCUUGGUCCAGCGAGGACUCGAGCCCACCGGGGGAUCUGUUGGGGAGGAGGUUCUCGAACUGCUGAGGAGGAUCACAGUGCUUUUGCUUCCUCUAGGAGACCAGCUGCACAGGCUGGAACAUGCCAUCUCUAUGCCUGUUUUCCCGUCGAUAAAUGCAGAGACAUUACUCUCAUCAUUUCUUCCUCUGUAACACAAUAUUCAUAUAUGUAACCCCUUGGUAAAGCAGUUGUAAGAAUUAAACAAGAGGA